rnacentral:rRNA from 1 species
CACGUAGUUGGCCGGUGCUUCUUCUGCAGGUACCGUCACUUGCGCUUCGUCCCUGCUGAAAGCGGUUUACAACCCGAAGGCCGUCAUCCCGCACGCGGCGUUGCUGCAUCAGGCUUGCGCCCAUUGUGCAAUAUUCCCCACUGCUGCCUCCCGUAGGAGUCUGGGCCGUAUCUCAGUCCCAGUGUGGCCGGUCGCCCUCUCAGGCCGGCUACCCGUCGAAGCCUUGGUGAGCCACUACCUCACCAACAAGCUGAUAGGCCGCGAGUCGAUCCAUGACCGCCGGAGCUUUCCACCCACCCCGAUGCCGGGACAGGUCAUAUCCGGUAUUAGCAGCUGUUUCCAACUGUUAUCCCAGAGUCAAGGGCACAUUACUCACGUGUUACUCACCCGUUCGCCACUCGUGUACCCCGAAGGGCCUUACCGUUCGACUUGCAUGUGUUAAGCACGCCGCCAGCGUUCGUCCUGCGCAGGAUCAAACUACU